UGUUACACUGUUAUGCAGUUUGUAUUUCAUAGAUUUGUUUACAUCAGGCUGUACUGAACCUGAUUGGAUCCCGUUCAGAAACAGUUGUUACCUGUUCUCACAGGAUGCAAUGAACUGGAACAAAGCAAACGAUUAAUUAUGGAUUGAAGAUGAUUGUGAGAAGGAGUGGAAAUUACCAAUUUCACCAAACCGCAUGACUACUGGAUUAGUCUUACAGAUCAGAACACCGGGCAGUAGAGUUGGGUGGAUGACACACCUCACAUUAUGAAUAGAGAACACUGGAGUCCUGGGUAGACAGAUGACUGGACCGAACACGGCCGAGCGCUCUCCCGUUAUAUUGACUUUCACACUACACAGAGUGUUGUAUGUCACUCUGGACUGCAUUUCCCAUCAUCCAUUGCAGUGAUUUCACACAGCUUUAACCAAUCACACACUCACCUUAAAGCUAUCACACACACUAUAUAACACCCACUCAGAUCCUUCGUCAACUGUCCAGUAUUGUCUGUGUUUAUGAUUCUUCAAGUGAUUGUUUCGGUUAUCCCUGCCUGCCCUGAAGUUUAUAGCCUGCCUUGGAUUGCUCUGUUGUCUUGUUGUUUGGGCUCAGAAUGUACCACGCCUGGAUUAUCAUGUUAUUGGAUUACCUCUUUUGUCAAGCCCUCUGGAUAUUGUUCGCUGAUUGAAGACCAUGCCUAUUUACUUGAUUACUAUUCUGUCUUGCUCUCUGUAUACUUGUUUGCCAUUUGUCUGACCCUUGCCUGUGUUGACCAUGUUUAAUAAUAAAGUUUUGCAAAUGGAUCUGCACACCUCCUGUUUCGUCAGCUCUGUAACAGUGUCAGAAUUUAAAAUGAUCAUUGCGUGACUUUUAUUGUAGAACAAAGCAGUGAGAUGAGGUAUCACUAUUCUA